CACGUAGUUAGCCGUGGCUUUCUGGUUAGAUACCGUCACACGCAUAACAGUUACUCUAUGCGCUGUUCUUCUCUAACAACAGAGUUUUACGAUCCGAAGACCUUCAUCACUCACGCGGCGUUGCUCCGUCAGGCUUUCGCCCAUUGCGGAAGAUUCCCUACUGCUGCCUCCCGUAGGAGUCUGGACCGUGUCUCAGUUCCAGUGUGGCCGAUCACCCUCUCAGGUCGGCUACGUAUCGUUGCCUUGGUAAGCCAUUACCCCACCAACUAGCUAAUACGGCGCGGGUCCAUCUAUAAGUGAUAGUAAAACCAUCUUUCACUUUAGAACCAUGCGGUUCUAAAUAUUAUCCGGCAUUAGCCCCGGUUUCCCGGAGUUAUUCCAGUCUUAUAGGUAGGUUACCCACGUGUUACUCACCCGUCCGCCGCUAACGUCAAAGGAGCAAGCUCCUUAUCUGUUCGCUCGACUUGCAUGUAUUAGGCACGCGCCAGCGUUCAUCCUGAGCCAGGA
rnacentral:rRNA from 1 species